CAGAGGGUGCGAGCGUUGUUCGGAAUUAUUGGGCGUAAAGAGCGCGUAGGUGGUUCGCUAAGUCUGGUGUGAAAGCCCUCGGCUUAACUGAGGAAGUGCAUUGGAUACUGGCGAGCUUGAGUGUGAGAGAGGAUUGUGGAAUUCCUGGUGUAGCGGUGAAAUGCGUAGAUAUCAGGAGGAACACCGGUGGCGAAGGCGGCAAUCUGGAUCAUAACUGACACUGAGGCGCGAAAGCGUGGGUAGCAAACAGGAUUAGAUACCCUGGUAGUCCACGCCGUAAACGAUGGAUGCUAGGUGUUGCAGGCUUCAACCCCUGCAGUGCCGUAGCUAACGCAUUAAGCAUCCCGCCUGGGGAGUACGGUCGCAAGACUA
rnacentral:rRNA from 1 species